rnacentral:rRNA from 1 species
GACGUAGGGGGCGAGCGUUGUCCGGAUUUAUUGGGCGUAAAGCGCGCGUAGGCGGUUCGUUAAGUCGGAUGUGAAAAUCCGGGGCUCAACCCCGGACCUGCAUCCGAUACUGGCGGACUGGAGGCAGGCAGGGGAGAUCGGAAUUCCUGGUGUAGCGGUGAAAUGCGUAGAUAUCGGGAGGAACAUCAGUGGCGAAGGCGGCUGCCUGGCCCAAUACUGACACUCAGGUGCGACAGCGUGGGGAGCAAACAGG